rnacentral:lncRNA from 1 species
GGAAUCUUAAAAGUUAUACACCCAUGGAAUCGUUGAGGUUUUGUUUUCUGAGUUUUAAUUAAAUACGUGAAAUUCUUUUGAUAGGGAAUGUUCUGGGAACCUGGGAUACAAAAUGUAGAUAAAGUUCUUUGCUUUCAUUUAUCUAAAGUAGUAAGAAACACGGUUCUGAAAGGGUGGUAUGACUUUUGACCCCUCUGGUGACUUUUCCUUUUGUGGUCUGAUCAGCCGCAAUGAAAAGCCAUUUGGAUGGUGAAUUUAAGGUCAUUUGUGAUACUGACUUUAAGGAAAUUUGUAGAACUGAUAAUUAUGAUGGAGUUAAAGUUCUUAGACGCAGUUGAUAAUUUGAACCAAUGAAAAGACUGAAUGACGAUAAGGGUGAAUUACAGGAGAAGGUGAUUCACUCAAUCCAACCAAGAGACUGGGUGUGGAUCCAGUCCCUGAGGAGAAAAGACGGGAAGCAGCCCCGUGGGGAAGGCCCAUACCAGGUGCUGUUAAACCAUUGCCUUUGCCAUUAGAAAAGCUGAGAGUCACUUGGGUCCACGUUAUCCACUGCAAGAAGGUAUGUACACAUAUCCACUGCUGAUCACACACAGAGUUAGGAGAAGAACCGAGUACCAACAGGGUCCGGGGGUUACCUCCUUAACGAAGAUUUCCUAUCCCGACCGUUCAUCACUGUGUGUGCUCCUAGAGGUGUGAGUAUGGGGUGGUACCUAGCAGAGAGACUAAGGGCAGGAGAGGGUUGGCGGUUUUUGGGAAGAGUAGGGACUCUGAGCUGCAUCAUAGUCUAAUCUUUCUGAUACAUUCAGAUCCACCACCUUCUGGUACUAAUCAUACGAUACCGUUGUCAUUGAGAAGAAGUAGAAUAUAAAGUAUAUAAUACACUGAUGAGUGACUUACAGAAUAAGGAGUCAAAGAAGAUCAAGAUGUGGGAUUUAAGAUUCAUGAAUGAAACCGGGGAUGCAGUAAAGAGGUUCUCUGACCAAUUAUCCGCCACCUCCCUCAUGACCUGGUAAAAUAGACUGACUCUCGAUAUGUUACUGGCAAAGGAGGAUGGUGUAGGUAGAAUGAUUAGGUUCAUUGCUGUACGUACAUUCCUGAUAACACAGCCCAUGUUUGGGAAAUGGAAAAGUGUUGUAGGAACGGUAUUAUGGGCAGCUUUCACCUGUAUGAGUGUGUUUGGGUUGUUGUUUGGUCCCGUGUGCGAGAGGUCUCAUUUCCACGGUUCUGGAGAGAUCAAUAACGGAGCAGAUGGUGAGUUCAGACCAGUGGGACGACAACUACCUACCGCCGAGCCUGGUGGAGGAUUCAUUCAACUAUGAGGAGCCCAUGAUAAGAUGAGACCAUCUUUAGAGUUUCCUGAAUUAGUUUGAUUUUGUGUGAAAUUUCUGAAUCCAAAAAAAAUAGAUGUGUUAUAAUGUAUGUGAAAUAUUUAGCCAAUCGGGUGGAUAUAAUGAAAGGUUUGACUAAAAGAUUUCACUCAGAAACCUUAUAACCUGUUGAAAUGUAUUCGAAAUACAGCUAUAAUAAUGGGUUAAAAACUAUAUUCCAAUACUGUGUGAGUAAGACACUGUUACCAGAAUGAGCAGGGCAGAGUUGAUAAGACGACCUUGGGAAGGGAACAGGAGAAGAAGCCUCCCUAAGUUAGGGAGAGUAACAACGGCCUGGGAACGGCAGGUGGGCAGGAGAUUAGAAGACAGGUGGCAAGGUUGUUAAGGAAUGUAUGUGUACUGUGGGAAAAAUACAGCCGCCUAAAGCUGGGUUGAGUUCUUUACUGAUGUGUGUGUAACAGAGAUUUGUUAACUAUACUCGCACUGCACUGACAGGUAUGGCUGAGCAACUAGAGGCUACCACUAGAACCACUAGACAAAAUAGAUUGGAGUUGGAUAUGAUAUUGGCUAAUAAUGGGGGGUGUAUAAAACGUUUGGUGAACAAUGCUGUACUUUUAUCCCUAAUAACACUAGCCCUGAUGGUAAGCAUUACCAAAGCCCUACUGGAACUUGAAAAGCUAUCUGCUGAAAUGAAGGGUGUAGCAGGGGUAUACGAGGGGAAUUGGCUGAACAUCUUUUUUGGUAAGUACACAUCUAUGGUGGUUACUGGAUUUCUGACCCUAGUGCUUGUGUUCUUAUUAUUGUUGUGUUGUGUUGCCUGUAUAAUCCCUUGCUUGAGAAAAUAUCUUACAGAAGUUGUCAGAGCAACCGGAAUGAUGUCUUUGAUGGAAGUGACCCCAGUGGAUACUGAAUCAACCUCUAGGCAAAAGACGGGUCUGUCUGAGGACGAUCCUUGGUUUGCUGUUGGGGAAAUGGUUGAAUAAAGCUUAUCCAAAAUGUUCUCAUAUGUAUUGAAUGUAGUGGCAGGUGGAUGUGAAGGUUUUAAGUACUGGGACAAAAAGUCUGUCCCAUACAUGUUAGGUGUAGCCACUGUCGCAAAAAGGUCUUCUUUUUAUACGUUUUUUAAAUAAUAUGUUCUGAAUUUAUCUUGUGUACUAUUUGUCUUUCCUUAUGUGAAGGUUUGAAGUUCCUGGGUGGCUGGUAGUCAACCUAGUACAAGUGAGGUGUAGCCGGAAGGACUUGAGGGUUUUUUAACUAAUCAUCUAAUCAUUAAAAUGGGAAUUAAAAAUUGUGUUGAGUGACACCCUAGGGGGUGUCAAAAGGGGGAAUCUCAAAAUUUCCCUGACAUUUUAAGAACUUAUAUAUUCACACUUAUCAGGUGUGAAAAGGGGGAUUGUUGGGUUUUAUUUCACUUAUUAGAUGUGAUGCAUUACCUUUUACAGUAGAUGUAGGCCUAAGUAUGAACGGACUGUAAUGCACUAAGAGGUUUAUAUUGUAUUAACAUAGAUUGAGCAACAUAUAAUAGACAUGACUAACUGGAGGGUUGCUGGCUAGUAGGAGUGUAGGCUGAGUAGACUCUUGACACACACACACAAUGCCUGGUUGUGGGGCCGCUCAAGGACAGGUGUACGGGAGGGGCUGGUAGAAUGGAAGAUGGCUGUAGCACAAAAGCAGAAACUGUCCUAACUGUAGCAUAAAAACAGGCACUGUCCUUGGGUGUCUGACUCUCGGGUACACACAUGAAGAUAAGCUAGAAGACAACUAUGCUUGGCAACAAAGAUGCGUCUAGAGGCUGGUACCAGCCUGCACGCCAACGAUAGGAUGAGUAAGUUUAAACCACGCUCAUCCUCCCUCUGACAGGCCAGGUGUGAGCGGGAACUAUCUCUGUCAGAGUAUUUAAUGAAGAACUUAUGAUGUCAUUUUCAGUUCUCUGUUUGCCCUGC